AAGAAGGAUCAGACUUAAGGAUGGAGGAAAAUAUGAGUGGAAGAGGAGAAAAUGUGACCUAACACGUGAAAGAUGAAUAAAACAAUGAAAGAGGGAAGGAGUGAACGAGGGGACGAGGGAGGGAGAACCAGCGGUACAAGUCAUCAAAGAAUAAUAACGAUAACAAAAACAACGGUAAUAUUUAAUCCAGGAAGUAAAACAAGACAACACAUCAACACACACGCAUUGUCAUCGAUCUAUUGCAGUGCGCUUACCUGUCCCAUCACCACGAGUGCUGUGUGUUUAGCGCUCACCUGUGGUCAUUAGGACAGCCACGCGCGCAGGGUCACGUGACGCACCGAUUACUGAGGGCGGCCGCGGGCACAGGAGGCGAGUGAUGUUGCUUGUCUUUAUUCCAUUUUGUGACGCGUAAAGUGACUGUGCGUGAGCGUGACGGCGUGCAGAGGUGCGUGAAGGUGUGUUGCAUCAUCUGUAGCAGCUUCAUGUUACUAAGGACCUAUGCAAGCAAGUGUCAGCAGGGUCUUCAAGUGUGUGUGUGCACCGUGUUGAGUGAUAAGUCGGUGCAGGAAAUCAAGAUGCCUCCAACACACCUUGAUCAAAGGAGAACUGCACACCAGUUCUUCAGGAUUAAAAAUUUCUUAAGGGUUAUUGGGGCCAUUGAUGGCAGCCACAUUGCCAUGAAGGGCCAAAGUGUGGAUGAGGCCCUCUACUUGAACUGGAAAAGGUAUCACUCCCUCUGAACAUCCAACUUGUUUGUGAUGCAAGUGGAGUGAUCCUCAGCUACUGCUCCAGAUUGCCAGGUGCCUGCACUCUUGUGGAGGUGGCUUGCAGUACAGAACCAUCAAGUGUGUCAAAAUAAUUAAUGCUUGCCUGCUCCUACACAACUGCUGCAUCAAGUUCCUGAUGACCUACCACCUCUUGAGGAUGAAGCAGUGCCCCAUGCCGAUACCAACCCUGCCGUGCUGUAGAGGGAUCAUUGUGCUCCAGGCAGAAUUGUGUAGCAAGAAAUCAUACAAAACUUCUUCCAGCAAUGCAGUAAGGAAGUGAGAUUGUCAAAGUGCCUGGGACAUGUUUUGUACAGCCAGCUGCACCAUCACCAGCUCGUCCAAGCUCAGACUAAUCUGCUGUUGGGUUUCCUGUGCUUGAGAGAGAACUUCUGAGUGAGUCUGAGUGGCCACCUGCAGUACAGUUCAGAAGCAAACAUGACUUUACACCACAAGUUACAAAUUAAGUGGUAUUUUAAGUUACAUGUCAUGCUGUGUCCUUUUACCUCAUUUGCUCCUUGGACCUUUCUGCUAUACAGUACCCAGGCUGGUGGUGUGAUGCACUUAUGGAAUCAACACUUUAUAUUCCUCAGAGAUGUAUUCCUCAAAAAAAAAAAAUUAAUUAAUUAAAAAAAAAAGGUCAAAAUAGCAAGAACAACAGACUUAGUGGCAGGAGUUGUAUAUGUAUAAUCAGUGUUCAUUGUACUGGAGGACACAACUGAAUACAUGUUAACAUGUUAUUCACCAUUGCAUGUAGUCAUCUAUAACGUGGAUAAUUUGAACAAAGAUGUUCUUAUUCAGUGCAGAUGAUACAGCAUUGUCAAAUCCAGAGACCCCUGUGGACCCAGCAACACCAGCAGAAGAGGGUUGGAUGGCUCCAACACUACUGCUGGUUGUGGUCUACUACUACGGCUGUGGU